GCCUCUGUAGCUCAGUUGGUUAGAGCGCUGCGACUGAAUCGCACGACCGUAGGUUCAAUUCCUACCAUAGGAC
rnacentral:tRNA from 1 species